rnacentral:rRNA from 1 species
AGUGGCGCACGGGUGAGUAAAACGUGACUAACCUACCCUUGAGUGGGGGAUAACUGAGGGAAACCUUAGCUAAUACCGCAUAAUACCCACGGGUCAAAGGAGCAAUUCGCUCGAGGAGGGGGUCGCGGCCGAUUAGUUAGUUGGCGGGGUAAUGGCCCACCAAGACGAUGAUCGGUAUCCGGCCUGAGAGGGCGCACGGACACACUGGAACUGAAACACGGUCCAGACUCCUACGGGAGGCAGCAGUGGGGAAUUUUGCGCAAUGGGGGAAACCCUGACGCAGCAACGCCGCGUGGAGGAUGAAGUCCUUCGGGACGUAAACUCCUUUCGAUCGGGACGAUUAUGACGGUACCGGAAGAAGAAGCCCCGGCUAACUUCGUGCCAGCAGCCGCGGUAAUACGAGGGGGGCGAGCGUUUUCGGAAUUAUUGGGCGUAAAGGGUGCGUAGGCGGUUUGGUAAGUCUGAUGUGAAAUCUAUGGGCUCAACUCAUAGUCUGCAUCGGA